CUGCCGUACUGCAACGUUAUGUUGGUCAGAGAAAAAAGUUAAUUCACGUCCUUUCACUGUAUUUUCUGCAACAGCAAUUCACACUUUAAACUACACCUGGAGCCUCCGACGUAUUUUAGAUACUGAUGAUUGUUCGUUUCUGUCCUCUGUGGACACCAUCACGCUGGGGAGGAAAGACGGGACUGAAGAAGGACCGGACAAAGACUUGUUAUCGAGGGAAGCCUCGUGGAGAAUGAACGUUUCCUGCAGAUGUGCAGCAGCUGAUUCCAGAGGGGUUUCCUUGUAAAUGAAGUCUGGACCUAGAGUCCCAUCUC